GGAAGUAAAAGUCGUAACAAGGUCUCCGUUGGUGAACCAGCGGAGGGAUCAUUACUGAGUUUACGCUCUACAACCCUUUGUGAACAUACCUAUAACUGUUGCUUCGGCGGGUAGGGUCUCCGCGACCCUCCCGGCCUCCCGCCUCCGGGCGGGUCGGCGCCCGCCGGAGGAUAACCAAACUCUGAUUUAACGACGUUUCUUCUGAGUGGUACAAGCAAAUAAUCAAAACUUUUAACAACGGAUCUCUUGGUUCUGGCAUCGAUGAAGAACGCAGCGAAAUGCGAUAAGUAAUGUGAAUUGCAGAAUUCAGUGAAUCAUCGAAUCUUUGAACGCACAUUGCGCCCGCCAGCAUUCUGGCGGGCAUGCCUGUUCGAGCGUCAUUUCAACCCUCAAGCUCUGCUUGGUGUUGGGGCCCUACAGCCGAUGUAGGCCCUCAAAGGUAGUGGCGGACCCUCCCGGAGCCUCCUUUGCGUAGUAACUUUACGUCUCGCACUGGGAUCCGGAGGGACUCUUGCCGUAAAACCCCCCAAUUUUCCAAAGGUUGACCUCGGAUCAGGUAGGAGUACCCGCUGAACUUAAGCAUAUCAAUAAGCGGAGGA
rnacentral:rRNA from 1 species